AACCAGACUCGUAGUUGGCAAGGCAGUAGGAACCAUCAACUUGGAACCAUAUUGACCAGUCUCUCAAUCCAAUCCAAUCCCAUCUAUACCAAUCAACCAACCGGAAUAUGGAGAACAGCGCGGGGGAGAGUAUGAAGUGUCUCUUUCUUCCCGAGACCCAUUCCUAUAUGGAAGCGAGUUCGUCACAGCCUGACUUAUCUCUGGUACCGAUUCUCUAUAGCCAGCAAGCCCAGACUUGGAUGAAGGGUUGGUUGGUGCGCCAGAGAGGAAUGGGGAGAAGGGGCCCGAGUUGGGAGCUCUUUCUAUAGACAGAAACCUUUGACUCCAGAAUUGAGAGAUCCGUAUUGGUAUUUGGCCAUGGGAAGAGACUAGUUAGUAGGUUCUUAUUAUCCAUAGAUGGUAGGGCUAGACUUUGAUGAAGGGGCUGGCUCACUAUCCCUUUAGAAUGGGCCAAUAUGGUCAUGCUCUAGAGUCAAGUAGUCAAUAGAAUAGGGGAGUGAGGGAGUCAGCGAAGAUUGCGGGGGAGAGAGAUCCGUAUACAGAACUUCUUCUUCAUAAAGACUAUUCCUCCACUUCAAGGGGAUGGGGCGAUUCAUCUUUGCGGCUUAGGAUAUGGAAUUUCGUGUACUAUUCCAUUACGUGAGAAGUGGAAACACCCCAAUCAAUGGCAGGGAUUCACGAAAGCGAGAUUGCAUGUUCGUGCCGCUGCUCUCCGGUUAUUGGGGCUUAGUGCAGAAGGGAAAUGCUCAAGUCUGUUAGAUACGUAUUCGAUAGGGACGUGCACCUGGGAAGAUCUGGCGAAUUAGAUCCGAAUAGCCACCUUCUUCGUCCGAAUUAGUGGAAAGCGACUUAGCCCUUCCAUGCGUUGAGAGUUCGGGUCAUACGGGUCAAAGCUGUGUUUGUGGUGAGGGCCAACAAGGUGAUUUCGGUUUCCGACUCUCGCUGCCUCAUCCCCAAGGUCAGGUGUGCCACCCUAGCCUAGCAUCCUAGGCAAGCUCGUUCUGAUCCAAUAGUAGACCCAAUAGGCCUAAUCUUCCCAAUCCAAUGUCG
rnacentral:lncRNA from 1 species